rnacentral:rRNA from 1 species
CCUACGGGAGGCAGCAGUGAGGAAUAUUGGUCAAUGGGAGAGAUCCUGAACCAGCCAAGCCGCGUGAGGGAAGACGGCCCUAUGGGUUGUAAACCUCUUUUGUCGGAGAACAAAACCCGGGACGAGUCCCGGACUGCGUGUAUCCGAAGAAAAAGCAUCGGCUAACUCCGUGCCAGCAGCCGCGGUAAUACGGAGGAUGCGAGCGUUAUCCGGAUUUAUUGGGUUUAAAGGGUGCGUAGGCGGUCUGUUAAGUCAGCGGUAAAAUGGCGGGGCUAAACCCCGUCGAGCCGUUGAAACUGGCAGACUUGAGUUGGCGAGAAGUACGCGGAAUGCGCGGUGUAGCGGUGAAAUGCAUAGAUAUCGCGCAGAACUCCGAUUGCGAAGGCAGCGUACCGGCGCCAGACUGACGCUGAGGCACGAAAGCGUGGGGAUCGAACAGGAUUAGAUACCCGAGUAGUC